GCAUGGUCAUACCUAACAGAUCUGGAUUCAGCCUAAUUCUUGUCAAGCGACUCCAGUAUCUCUGCACUGCACUCCCCAGAGCUCCACACUAUAUUUGUAUCUCUUCAUUAUAAGAGUUUACAACACAAGAAUUUCCCAUGAGACUGACGUUCUGCGAGACUGUGAUCUGGCUGAUUCUGUUUAAAAAGAAACAAAUAGAAUGGUGAAAGAUUUUGUACUGUCUUUGCUAGUUUAAUGUAGCAGAAAUGUUAGUGAAUAGGAAAAUAAAUCUCAAAUUCAAAGGCACUUACUGCUACUACAUGAUCGAUGCUGUUAUUGUUCAUAAUGUUUCUGGCAAGAAUGGGCUUGAUGUGAUACUACAGGAGGGAUAUAAAUGUUUUCAAAACCCAUGAUACUCCAUCCCUGCAGUGUUCUGAAGAGAACAAGACCCUAUCAUCAGGGUACAGGAUACUGCCCUUGGCUAGAUGGAGUUAAGAACCUCAUCAGAGUCGGAAUAUGUCUCAUGAAGCAGAGAUUUCAUCCAGGACUAGCGCACCAAAGCCUGUAAGAAGUCAUGCUGGAAGAAUGAUAGAUUUUUUUUUUUUCCUCUUUCUUAGUAGUAUUCUGAACUCAGAUGGUUAAGGGAAAAAUAAAUGCACUUUCCUAACAAGUCCGAGAUUUUGGUGUUAAGACACCUGUGGCUCCAGAUAAUUCCUAAUGCUGAUUUCACUCUUGGAGGUUCCAGACUUUCUCUUUUAUUUCAAAAGGUACAUUUUUAAAUCUGCUGUAAAGAAUUUAAACAGUAGCGUGGUGCAAGAGGACAAAAAGCCCACAUGUGAGUUGAAUCCAUGAUCUUCAGAUUAAGUUCUGAUCUGGAAGUAAAUUUUCACAGCCAGGAAGACUGGUGUCAGCCAUAUAUGUGAAGGAGAAAUGAGAGAGAGACAUCCGAUCAGAAGACAGUUGACCAUUCCUGGUUGUCUCCAUUCUCCUUCCUUGAGCAAGCAUUGUACAACCUGUCUCCACCAUGUUUGGCUUUUUCCUCCCUGAUGUCUGUUACCUCUGCUGCACUACAGAUCACUCAAAUCAUGGCAUUACUCAACCAGAGACAGUCCUGAAAGAAGAGCGAGCCCAUGCAGAAAAGCUGUUCACACUCUCCAUUGGAUGUGCUCCCAGCUGAACUGAACUGGAAGGCCUGAUUUCUCUGGAUUUUGAGAAAACAGCUAUCAGAGAAACCCAUGUUUUGAAAUUGAAGUGUAAUGAUCGCCCUCUCAGCUCUAGUAAGCAUCCCCCAGUAGAUAACCCAGUAAGUGAGUCAAGGCCUUAAGAUGGACCGCAAAAGAUGAUGGGGAAGUGCUGGGACUGAUGUCUUCUGCUCUGCGUGUGAGGAUCUGUAUCUUCUAAAGUGACUUUCAAAAGAAGUGUCAAAAACGUAGAUUUGUUAGCAACUUGCCACAUCAUUGGAAAAGACACGUUGUAAUGACAAAGGUUUGUGGGAGGAAAGAAUACUUCAUGGUAUGACAACAAAGGCUCUCAGAAGCCAUGAAGUCUUUGAAUUGCAGGUGCCAUGAGAAGAUAACAUCAGAGAAUCAAGCAGAUUGCUACCACCAUCCAUAAAUAAACUUUGUUUCUGGUGAUCUUUCAAGCUGAAGCACCAUGUGAACCAUUGCUUCAGGCCACAUUUGUUGUGGGAAUAAUCUGUCUAAUCAUAAGCCUAUCCUGGAUGGCAAGGUGAAAUGAAGUACAGAAUGGCAGGCUAAGAAAGCAAACACAGGCAUAAAUGUGGAUUCAAAGAUUAAUGUAUUUAAUGACUAGAUAUCUCAGCUAUCUUGUGUUAUGUGAUCCCAGCUGAACUGGGAUGGAGAGCUAGUUUUUUGAAAAUAAACCAAAAAAAAAUCCCAAAAUCCUGACAAAACUUAUUUUCAGGUCUUCACUUUUGGAGUGAUAUUAGAAAAAUUACACUUACAAAAUGCUCAUAUUAACAUCUGAUUUGUGUCUGGGACUCCAACAGCAGGAAGAAUCUGUUUCUGAGACUGCAGUUUUCUGUGAAUCUUCACAGCGUUUCCAAUAAUCUGCUUUUGAUCUGUUCUUUCCAUCCAUUUCCUUUCAGUGACAAAAUUACAGUAUUUUUCCUCCUCGUACUUUCACUAGAGCAUGAAAGAAAGUAAUAAAAUAUUAGUAUACAUCUC